UCAUUCUUUACACUAGGGGAACAAGUGAUAUUGCUAAGAACAGUAUAAUUUAUUUGGUUUAAUUGAAUUCACUGUUUUAUUAAGUGUGUAUGGU